GACGAGCGCUGGCGGCGUGCCUAACACAUGCAAGUCGAACGGAGAUACGAUUUCGGUUGUAUCUUAGUGGCGAACGGGGUGAGUAACGCGUGAGCAACCUGACUCUUAGAGGGGGAUAACAACCUGGAAACAAGUGCUAAUACCGCAUAAGACCACGACAUGGCAUCAUGACGAGGUCAAAGGAGCAAUCCGCUGAGAGAGGGGCUCGCGUCCCAUUAGAUAGAUGGCGGGGUAACGGCCCACCAUGUCAGCGAUGGGUAGCCGAGCUGAGAGGCUGAUCGGCCACACUGGAACUGAGACACGGUCCAGACUCCUACGGGAGGCAGCAGUGGGGAAUAUUGGGCAAUGGGCGCAAGCCUGACCCAGCAACGCCGCGUGAGGGAAGAAGGCUUUCGGGUUGUAAACCUCUGUCCUUGGUGACGAAAAAAAUGACGGUAGCCAAGGAGGAAGCCCCGGCUAACUACGUG
rnacentral:rRNA from 1 species